UCCUCCAACAUAUACAGCUAUCUCAGGUAUGAUAUGUCACUUUUAUUGCUUAGAAUGUACUCUAUUAACAAACUUUUAUACUAAUCAAUGUCAAUUAUACAAAGUUAUACACAAUAAAAACAAUGCUAUGCUUAGUAUGUUCUUUUUGACUGCAAAACAUCUGUUCCUCACCCCAUAAUUAAAUUUCUAAGUAUUUUAACACUAAAAUGAAUAUAUUUCUAAUCAGUUUAAAACUUUAUACAACUCGAGCAUUUGUAACAGCUUUUAUCAAUCUCAUUGUUAGAGGAACUAUAUAUUAUACCUCUGAUAAGUUUUGUUACAAAAGUGUCUCUUCAAUUCAAAAGUUACUGCAACAACACAAGCAACUCUCCCAGGUAUGAUAUUUACAUUUUUUUGGCUUCAAGCAUACUUUAUUGACACCUUUUAUUGCUCUAACAUUGCUCUCUGUCACUUUUAACUAACUUCCCUCCUUGUGCGCCAGCUACAGUACAUUGCCUCUCCAGUGCAAACCUUCUCAAUCAAACAUUCAGUCUAAAUUUCCUACUGCAAAUUGAAGGUAUGCAUACCUACCCAACACAUAUAGUUUACAUUCUCUUCUUUUUAUGUGGCCAUGUAAUUCUUUCAAGGCAUAUUCUAACAAAUCUUCAAAUAAAAUCAAUUAAUAAACAAACUUCUCUUUACCAUGCCACUUCAGUUGUUUUGGCACAUAAAUUGUAUAUAUGUUAAAUUUAAGAAACUAAUUCUAUUGCUUCUUUUUGUUGUAGAGAUACAUAUUAACAAAGAACCACAUACCCAUGCUUGGACACUUCUCACUUUUCAAGUUAGCACUGGUUGUAGCUAAAAAGUCUUCUCAAUGUCAAUUAUACAAAGUUAUACACAAAAAAAACAAUGCUAUGCUUACUCUGUUCUUUUUCCCUACAAAACAUCAACUUUCUAACUCUUUUAAAACUAAAAUGAAUAUAUUUCUAAUCAGUUUUAAACUUUACACUACUCAAACAUUUCUAGCAGCUUUUAUUAAUCUCGUUCUUAGAGCAUCUAUGUAUUGUCCUCUGAUAGCUUUUCUUACAAAAAUGUUUCUUCCAUUCAAAACUGACUGCUGCAACAUAAACAACUCACCCAGGUAUGACAUAACAAUCCUAUGCUUAGUCUGUUUUUUUCCUUUUUUUUUUUUAUAUGCAAAGAUAGAAGAGAGAGAAAUAAUAGUAUCUAAGUUUCUAUAUAUGCUAUGAAACAUUUGUUUCAAUCUAUACCACUAUUAAGCUCCAUCUCACAAUAUCAGAAAUAUGUAUCUGUACAAUUUCACAGUUAAAUAGAAGACGACAUAAAACUUGUGGAUGACUGCAUCUUUCCCUCUCAUCUGAAACUUUUGUUUUACAAAUACUUUCCACAUGUGAUUUCAAAGAAAGGAUGCAAGGCCCGCAACACAUCAGGCAACCUGAGCCAAUCUCAAAGCCUCCAAUUUCCAUAUACCAGUUUUCAGGAUUAGACCAUACCAGAGCAUGUCAACAUAUGAAGGUGACUUGGUGGCAAAAUGCUACUUUACAAAGCACAACACCUGUGUAUUAUCCUCUAAUGACUUUAGUUACAAAACUCUCUAUUCCAUUCAAAAGUCACUACUGCAACAUUAACAACUCACCCAGAGAUACAUAUUAACAGACAACAACAUACCCAUGAUUGCACUCCAUGUCGAUUACAACCAAACAUUUUCUGGUAAAACCUUUGACCGACCACACUAAAUCACCUUUCCUAUUUCACCAAUAUCCAUUCAUUUUGUUCCCCAUAUUUCAGAUUUAAAUAUCUCGAAUCUAUCACUGUGUUGCCCUUGCAAAAAUUGCAGACAACAAACAAAAAAAAUUAGGGUGUUUUCAAACUUCACUGCAUUCCAGAUUUAUGACACUAAUCAGAGCAUCUGUGUAUUAUCCUCUGAUAACUUUUGUUACAAAACUAUUUGUUCCAUUCAAAACUCGCUACUGCAACAUAAACAACUCACCCAGCUGUGAUUUCAACGGAAGGAUCCAAGGCCUGCAACACACCAGGCAACUUGAGCCAAUCUCAAAGCCUCCAAUUUCCAUAUGCCAGUUUUGAGGAUUGCAGCAUGGCAGCGCUUGUGUAUUGUCCUCUGGUGACUUUCAUUACAAAAGUGUCUGUACCAUUCAAAAGUCACUGCUCCAACAUAAACAGCUCACCCAAAUACAUAUUACCAGACAACAACAUACCCAUGAUUGCACUCCAUGCCGAUUACAAACAAACAUUUUCAGAUAAUGGUAAAGGCACUUUUUGGCUUGUGGUCAGCAGACAUUCUUUAGUUAUAUGAGGCUGCCUUUAUGUGGAUGUCACAAGUUCUGCACAUCUCAUACAACAGAUUCCCGAGAUUGAUGCUUAACACCCUCUCCGACACCAAAAUCAACUGGAUUGCACUUCAUUCAAGUUGCAAUAGUUACAAAUUGCCUCUUACAAAACUAUGAAGGUUGACUUGCUUGAUAUACAUGACCUUCCUCACCAUGAUAAGCAAAAUAUAUAUUGCCAGUUCCUCUUUCUUGUCAGGCUUUAAAACUCAGCAGGCGUUGUAAUUUAAAACAAGUUGAUCGCAUUGCCUUUAUGUUGUUGCUCAUCAAGAAGUCAAUCCGUCAUCAGCCAUUACACAUCUUGCAGCUUUCAACAGCUUUCAAAUUAUUUGAUUCUUUCAAACCUGCUAUUUUACAUCUCACAGCCCUAUCUUCUCAAAUAUUAACAUGUUCAAGAUGACGACACCGUUACCAUAUCAUGUUUUAAAGAGUCGUUAAGAUCUAGCCUCCCACAGUGACUGCUUACACUUAUUGACAUUGUAACAUUCACGGUUUCUUACUUAUGUUACUCUCUUCCAUCA